rnacentral:rRNA from 1 species
AGGGGCAAAUUAAUUAAUUAAUAAUAAUAAAAAAAUUUUUAUUUUAUAUUUUAAUAGGGGUUAAAGUAUAAUUAAGGAAAAAUUUUAAAUUUUAUAGUGGAAUAGUAUUGUAAAAGAAUUUUGAAAUAUUUGAAAUUAAAAUAAAAAAAAAGUAAAUUUAAUUUAUUGUAUCUUGUGUAUCAGAGUUUAUUAAUAAUUUUUUUUUAUAAAAAAAAAUCUCGAAUUUGAAAGAGAAAAUUAAUUAAAAAAAUUAUUGUUGCAUAAAUAUUUAAAAUAAUUAAUUAGAAAUGAAAUGUUAAUCGUUUUUAAAGAUAUCUAGUUUUUUUAGAAAUAAAUUUAAUUUAAAAUUUUUUUUUUAUUAUAUAAAAUGUUUUAUAUAAUUUAUAUUUAAAUUUAAUAUUUUAAGGGAUAAUCUUUAAAUUAAAUUUUUAUAAUAUAAUAUAUAUAUAUAUAUAUAUAUAUAUAAUUAUUUGAAAUUUUUAAAAUUUAUAUUGUUUAAAAAUUUUAUUUUUUUAUAAAAAAUUUUAUUAAUAAAAAAAUUUUUAAUUAAAAUUUAAUUUUUUAUAAAAAAUUAAUUUUUAAUUGAUAAAAAUUAAAUAUAAUGAUAAAAUUAGUGUAAAUAAUUAUUAAAAAUAAUAAAAUAAUAAAAAUUUAUGAAUUAAUAAAAAGGAAUUCGGCAAAAAUUUAUAUUCACUUGUUUAUCAAAAACAUGUCUUUUUGAUUAUAAUUUAAAGUCGAAUCUGCCCACUGAUUAAAUUAAAGGGCUGCAGUAAAUUGACUGUACAAAGGUAGCAUAAUCAUUAGUCUUUUAAUUGGAGACUUGUAUGAAAGAUUUGAUGAAAUAUAAACUGUCUCUUUAUUAUUAAAUAGAAUUUAAUUUUUUAGUAAAAAAGCUAAAAUUUUUUUAAAAGACGAGAAGACCCUAUAGAGUUUUAUAAUUAAAUUAAUUAAAAAUUAUUAUCAAUAUUAAAUAGAAAUUAAUUUAAUUAUUUUAUUGGGGUGAUAAAAAAAUUAAAUUAACUUUUUUUUUAUAAAAACAUAAAUUAAUGAUUAAAUGAUCCAUAUAAUUAUGAUUAUAAGAAAAAAUUACCUUAGGGAUAACAGCGUAAUUUUUUUUUUUAGUUCAAAUAAAAAAAAAGUUUGCGACCUCGAUGUUGGAUUAAGAUACAAUUUAAAUGUAGAAGUUUAAAAUUUUGAUCUGUUCGAUCAUUAAAAUCUUACAUGAUCUGAGUUCAAACCGGUGUGAGCCAGGUUGGUUUCUAUCUUUAGAAUAAUUAAAUAUUUUA